GAACUGAAGAGUUUGAUCCUGGCUCAGAUUGAACGCUGGCGGCAUGCCUUACACAUGCAAGUCGAACGGCAGCACGGGAGCAA
rnacentral:ncRNA from 1 species